AUGAACGCUAGCUACAGGCUUAACACAUGCAAGUCGAGGGGCAGCAUGGUCUUAGCUUGCUAAGGCCGAUGGCGACCGGCGCACGGGUGAGUAACACGUAUCCAACCUGCCGUCUACUCUUGGACAGCCUUCUGAAAGGAAGAUUAAUACAAGAUGGCAUCAUGAGUCCGCAUGUUCACAUGAUUAAAGGUAUUCCGGUAGACGAUGGGGAUGCGUUCCAUUAGAUAGUAGGCGGGGUAACGGCCCACCUAGUCUUCGAUGGAUAGGGGUUCUGAGAGGAAGGUCCCCCACAUUGGAACUGAGACACGGUCCAAACUCCUACGGGAGGCAGCAGUGAGGAAUAUUGGUCAAUGGGCGAGAGCCUGAACCAGCCAAGUAGCGUGAAGGAUGACUGCCCUAUGGGUUGUAAACUUCUUUUAUAAAGGAAUAAAGUCGGGUAUGGAUACCCGUUUGCAUGUACUUUAUGAAUAAGGAUCGGCUAACUCCGUGCCAGCAGCCGCGGUAAUACGGAGGAUCCGAGCGUUAUCCGGAUUUAUUGGGUUUAAAGGGAGCGUAGAUGGAUGUUUAAGUCAGUUGUGAAAGUUUGCGGCUCAACCGUAAAAUUGCAGUUGAUACUGGAUAUCUUGAGUGCAGUUGAGGCAGGCGGAAUUCGUGGUGUAGCGGUGAAAUGCUUAGAUAUCACGAAGAACUCCGAUUGCGAAGGCAGCCUGCUAAGCUGCAACUGACAUUGAGGCUCGAAAGUGUGGGUAUCAAACAGGAUUAGAUACCCUGGUAGUCCACACGGUAAACGAUGAAUACUCGCUGUUUGCGAUAUACUGCAAGCGGCCAAGCGAAAGCGUUAAGUAUUCCACCUGGGGAGUACGCCGGCAACGGUGAAACUCAAAGGAAUUGACGGGGGCCCGCACAAGCGGAGGAACAUGUGGUUUAAUUCGAUGAUACGCGAGGAACCUUACCCGGGCUUAAAUUGCAGAUGAAUUACGGUGAAAGCCGUAAGCCGCAAGGCAUCUGUGAAGGUGCUGCAUGGUUGUCGUCAGCUCGUGCCGUGAGGUGUCGGCUUAAGUGCCAUAACGAGCGCAACCCUUGUUGUCAGUUACUAACAGGUUCCGCUGAGGACUCUGACAAGUCUGCCAUCGUAAGAUGUGAGGAAGGUGGGGAUGACGUCAAAUAAGCACGGCACUCACGUCCGGGGCUACACACGUGUUACAAUGGGGGGUACAGAGGGCCGCUACCACGCGAGUGGAUGCCAAUCCCAAAAACCUCUCUCAGUUCGGACUGGAGUCUGCAACCCGACUCCACGAAGCUGGAUUCGCUAGUAAUCGCGCAUCAGCCACGGCGCGGUGAAUACGUUCCCGGGCCUUGUACACACCGCCCGUCAAGCCAUGGGAGCCGGGGGUACCUGAAGUGCGUAACCGCGAGGAGCGCCCUAGGGUAAAACUGGUGACUGGGGCU
rnacentral:rRNA from 1 species